AUGGCUAUAGAAUUUGAGGCAUUCGCCCUCAAUGGCCACCACUGCCCUAUCUGGGCCAUGGACAUCAUGAUCGCUCUUGUGUCUCGUGGAAUAGUGUGUGCAAUUCCGGAUUCAUCUCUGGUCAGGAUCACACCGCUAACAGAAAAAUGGUGUCUUAUAAAUCAUAAGGCAUUAGAUUCAGAUCUUGGCAUCUGGUUAUUCUGUAUCAGCAAUUCCUGGGAUACAAUGAACCUCAAGGGCAAAGGUUUGAGUCUUACUUCAACCUUCAAUCCGACAUCACCAGCUGUGACGGGACCCUAUGAGCACGAAGAAUGUGAUGGUUGA
rnacentral:rRNA from 1 species